CGCGGCCUAUCAGCUUGUUGGUGGGGUAAUGGCCUACCAAGGCGACGACGGGUAGCCGGCCUGAGAGGGCGACCGGCCACACUGGGACUGAGACACGGCCCAGACUCCUACGGGAGGCAGCAGUGGGGAAUAUUGCACAAUGGGCGGAAGCCUGAUGCAGCGACGCCGCGUGAGGGAUGACGGCCUUCGGGUUGUAAACCUCUUUCAGCAGGGAAGAAGCGAAAGUGACGGUACCUGCAGAAGAAGCGCCGGCUAACUACGUGCCAGCAGCCGCGGUAAUACGUAGGGCGCAAGCGUUGUCCGGAAUUAUUGGGCGUAAAGAGCUCGUAGGCGGCUUGUCGCGUCGGAUGUGAAAGCCCGGGGCUUAACCCCGGGUCUGCAUUCGAUACGGGCAGGCUAGAGUUCGGUAGGGGAGAUCGGAAUUCCUGGUGUAGCGGUGAAAUGCGCAGAUAUCAGGAGGAACACCGGUGGCGAAGGCGGAUCUCUGGGCCGAUACUGACGCUGAGGAGCGAAAGCGUGGGGAGCGAACAGGAUUAGAUACCCUGGUAGUCCACGCCGUAAACGGUGGGAACUAGGUGUUGGCGACAUUCCACGUCGUCGGUGCCGCAGCUAACGCAUUAAGUUCCCCGCCUGGGGAGUACGG
rnacentral:rRNA from 1 species